GGAGCUGUGCCUGAAACAAAGGGCCACUUUGAUAGAGUGAAUUAUGGAGGUUAAAGUCCUCCCGACUCCU